ensembl:lncRNA
CCCGGAAGGACCUGUGCUGCAGUCUGCUGUCUCCACAGGGCACGCAGCAUCCUACGGGACUGCACACACCCAGGACACCGGGUGUUUAAGCUGCUGCCGUCUUUCAGGAGACUCAGACUGCUGAGGUCACAGACAAACAGACAAGAGUCUCAGUUUCCACCCCUGGGCGGAGUCACGGCAUACCUGCGUGCCUCCACACCUGCUGGCAGUUGAGCUGUCAGUACUUAAGACCAGCGCUCACCCCUACUCUCUGCCAAGUCUUCAGCUUACCUACAGUUAGUGCUGGUUGUCACGGAGUAGUCAUCAAAACAGAUUUUUUUCAUGCACCUACGUAACACCCCACCUGGAAACAGCACUGCCUCACCCAGACCUCUUCCCCCUCUCGUGCCUAAAAACCUCCACCUGCCAAGUAAGACAAGAUCUGUUUAUACUUCAUUCUCAUCUGGACUCCAUCGGCCUCGCUCUUAACUCUGUUUUCCUCUCGUUCUAGUUCUCCGUGACACCUUGCUGCAUUACCUGUUCCGAGUGCACAUUCCCCCUUGAAUUUCCCUACUCUAGUUGUCCUAGUGUUUCAUGCUGUUCAUUGUCAUUUGAGUACUCUUUAUUUUAUUAGAGCUGUAGGUAGUCUCUCUCAGUUUUCAGUAGCUUCGUGGUUCAGAGCUCACACUCUAAAUUAAUAUCAGUUCUUCCUGUUGUAAAUAAAGAGUUUUUGAUAAAUACGCUCACCAGUGCCUCCGUGAGUGUUCUCCAUAUCGAGUCUUUUUCCCAGGUCGGCCUUGGCUGUGACAUUAAUAACGGCACCGUGUUUCCUCCUCUAUUCAGCAUGCCAAACAGACAAAGAGCACCGCACCAAAGCAGCAUCCUGGAAUCUGCGGAAGAGGACGCAGAAGUUACCAUUAAAACCUUCAUCAGGACCCACCUGAAGCUUCCACAGGACAUGCUGAAGAACAUCACCUUCCACUGUGUCCAUGGCCUGGCAGCAAGAAUGAUGCCUGAAGACCGCGUCCUAUUGUGACCAAAUUCCAACAUUUCAAGCAGAAGGAACAGGCAGCUGAAAGGAACGGACUUUAGUGUAAACAACCAGUUCCCCAAAGAGAUUCCGGAGCGACAUGAGGUCCUGAUCCUCAUUCAGUGGAUCUUCAUUCAGAAGGGCUCCCGUGCUGUGGUCGCUGUGGAUGAACAGAUCAGCCUCAGCACCACUCCCUGGUUGAUUGACGCCACUCCAUAUAAGAAUCCACUACAUUGUUUUUCUUCUCCUCCGCUUCCCCUGUUAUCUAACUUAUUGAUGUUAAUUCACUAAUGCAACGUGACGUCAUGACAGAUAAAUUACCAUCAGUCUCCACAGCGUUAAAGUAUUAGUUACAAUGUUCUUGUUUUCUUUCCAGUUUUCUCUUUCAUCUCUCCCUCUUGCCCCAUUGCAUAUUUCCUUCUUAUUUUUAUGUUCAUUCUUAGUCUUAUAUGUUACUAUAUAUAUAUUCAUAUUUUCAGGCUGCUUUAUUUGACAAAACCUGUAGAGGACUGUAUUAGUCAGCUGUAAGGAUGGAGCAACCAAGAACCAACCUAACGGUGCCUACCUUCUACAGCGGCAUUCCACAAACAUUCAGCCUGUCAUGGCUGUAAUUGUAGUCCAUUCUAACACAGUUAAAAAUCAUGGUUGAUUUAAAACAAAAGCAACAAAAACUUUUACUUGGUUGUUAUCUUGUAGUUGUAUUAAUUACAGGAGUAUCUGUAAUAACCAUUUUUACAGAUGAAUAAAAGUUUGGACA